UGCUUGCUGCCUGUGAUGUUUGAUCCAAGGCAGCAAUAGAGAUCUGUGUCCCAGAGCCACGUUGUGGAGCCUGAUCAAUGUGUUUGGAUUCUUGCAGCCACCCCACCCAGCGCUCCACCUGACAGUGCAGGCUGGGCAGCAUUGACAGCCUCCAGCUCAGCCCAAAACAUAAUACCUGAGGAAGAGCAGUCACCACCAGUGGAUCUUGGCUUUGCUGUCGAGCAAAUGAUCCGGGAGAUCAGGAGAUCCCUGUCUGAGAGGUCUCCCUCUGCUCAGGGCAAUAUUAAUGCUGUGCCUGAGUCUUCUGGAGGCGAGCCUGUGAACCAGGCUGCAGCAGAGGAAGCCUCAUCUGGCACGGAGAGCUGCAGGAGCAGUUCCCCAGAGCCCGAGGAGUCUGAUCCCGUGUGAUUGACCUCUCCAGGAGGGCUGCCCUAUGUGGCAGGAAGAGACAGAGGGAGAGCCUGUGACCAUCGGGCAGGUAGAAUGCCUCUGUCUCCAGUUAUAUUUAUAGAUGUGUAUAGUUAUGUUUAUGUAUCUAGGUAGUUUUGUUUAUAGAUCUAUGUAAUUAUAUUUAUGUAUAUAUAUAGAUAGAAAUAUGUACAGUUAAUUUAUUUUUGGUUUUAGAGGUAUAUUAUUAUAGCUUUAGAUGUGUUGUUGUAGUUAUAGAUGUGCACAGUUGCACUUAUACCUGUGUAUAGUUACGUUUACAUAUAUACAUUUGUAAAUGCAUAUUUAUAUUUGUAUAUGGGGGUUUAGACACAUAGAUUGAUAUUUAUAUACACCUCUUUUUAACCUCUUGCCCUGUUCUGCUUCCUCGCUCACCUCUUGCUUUUCCCCCUGUGCCCCCUGUGUCCCCUCUCCCUGGGCUGGGUCCGAGCUGGCGGCCAGGCCGGGCGCAGCAGCAGUUCCAGCCCUGGGUGUCCCUGGAGCACUGGGAGCUGCCGGUGGCCCCAGGCAGUGUCCCCUGAGGAGCUGCUGAAGGACGCUGUAAGGAAGACCUCAGCGACAGCUGGAGACUGCCGGGAGCCAGCAGGGAAAAGCUGAGUGCCAGCAGCAGGAGCAGUGAGCGGGGCCCUGCUGCUGCCAGCCUGGAGAGAGCCCGGGAGAUCUGCCAAACUUCAUCUGCAGGAUCAGAACAACUGGUGUCCUUUGGCGUCCCCCAGUUCCCACUGAAGAUGGGAGCACCUGCAGAGCACAGGGGACCAGCUGCAGCUCCAGGCCCAGCUCUUGCUGCUCACAGCUGAGUCUGUGGCAAGCUCCAGGAGCUCCUGCCAUCUCCCUCCCUGUUGGCAGCUCUCUCCCUCCAGCCCCCACGCCCUGCCCAUCCCCUUUUUUCCCUCCCAGCUCACCCCUUUGCUUUGCCUUCCCUUAUUAAACAGUUUUUCUUUUUCAUUUGACUCGUGGAUCUGUCCGUGGAGCUGAAGCAGCACAAAUCCUGAGCCCGGGGACACGCAGGGCCCUGCUGCCGUUCUCUUCCACGCCAUCGUCUGUGCACGGGCAGAGAGGAACAAGGGCAGCUCAGGCUGCAGAGGUCCCUGUCCUGCUGCUCCAGUUGCACAGCACCAUGGAGUUGAAGGUCGUGCUGAGCACACUGAAGGGAACAAGGACCCUGGGUUUUAGAAGAGCCAGCCUGAGUAUGCUCUUCCAUGGGACAGGAAGAGGGC